UUACAUCCCAAUAAUUCUUUGUAAUGCCAAUUACAAAGAAUAUUAAUACCAUAUAAUAUGUUUACAUCUCAAUAAUGCCAAACUAUCCAUACAUCUCAAAUUCACUUUUCAAUAUAAUUACUACUAUAUUGAAUUGUGAAUUUGACUACAUCCACAAAAUAUACCAAACUAUCCAUAAAAUUAAACUACUACCUAAUUAAACUAUCCAUGAUGAUAGGGUUGAGCGGGUUUUAAC
rnacentral:lncRNA from 1 species